rnacentral:pre_miRNA from 13 species
CCUGAGACGGGAACCGAGCUGGUUUCUUCUUCGGUGAUAAUUCCAUUUAGUGUUUAUCACCGAAAGCAAACUCGCUCUGGUCCCGUCUCGGGAU